rnacentral:pre_miRNA from 1 species
UUGGAUGUAAAUUAAUUUAUGUUUGGAUAUACCCACUUAAAGAUAAUUCUUAUAAGUUGAUUUUGUUUGAAUAA